CCUACGGGGGGCUGCAGUGGGGAAUAUUGGACAAUGGGGGGAACCCUGAUCCAGCCAUGCCGCGUGUGUGAAGAAGGCCCUCGGGUUGUAAAGCACUUUCAGUGAGGAAGAACGCCUGGUGGUUAAUACCCAUCAGGAAAGACAUCACUCACAGAAGAAGCACCGGCUAACUCCGUGCCAGCAGCCGCGGUAAUACGGAGGGUGCGAGCGUUAAUCGGAAUUACUGGGCGUAAAGCGCGCGUAGGUGGCUUGAUAAGCCGGUUGUGAAAGCCCCGGGCUCAACCUGGGAACGGCAUCCGGAACUGUCAAGCUAGAGUGCAGGAGAGGAAGGUAGAAUUCCCGGUGUAGCGGUGAAAUGCGUAGAGAUCGGGAGGAAUACCAGUGGCGAAGGCGGCCUUCUGGACUGACACUGACACUGAGGUGCGAAAGCGUGGGUAGCAAACAGGAUUAGAUACCCGAGUGUC
rnacentral:rRNA from 1 species